UUUUAACUGGUGUGCUGCAAGAAGUUUUAAAACAUGCAAUACCUGCCUAUUUAGUCAGGGGUACUGACCUCUCUUCCCUUAGAUUGUCAAAUAAAAAUUGACAAUAGCCAACAUAACAAUAACUGUCUGGUGUGAAUAAGUCAAAAUUAUAACAAUAUUUUUUUC